rnacentral:rRNA from 1 species
AGGGCACCACCAGGAGUGGAGCCUGCGGCUUAAUUUGACUCAACACGGGAAAACUCACCCGGCCCGGACACUGGAAGGAUUGACAGAUUGAGAGCUCUUUCUUGAUUCAGUGGGUGGUGGUGCAUGGCCGUUCUUAGUUGGUGGAGUGAUUUGUCUGGUUAAUUCCGAUAACGAACGAGACUCUAGCCUAUUAAAUAGAUCGUUGGCUUACAAACGCCGGCGAGACUUCUUAGAGGGACAGGCGGCGAUUCAGCCGCACGAAACAGAGCAAUAACAGGUCUGUGAUGCCCUUAGAUGUCCGGGGCCGCACGCGCGCUACACUGAAGUGAUCAGCGUGCAUUUUGAAACCUACUCUGUCAAGAGUGGGGAACCCAAUGAACCUUCUUCGUGAUUGGGAUAGGGGAUUGUAACUAUUCCCCUUGAACGAGGAAUUCCCAGUAAGCGCGAAUCAUAAGUUUGCGCUGAUUACGUCCCUGCCCUUUGUACACACCGCCCGUCGCUACUACCGAUUGAAUGUUU